rnacentral:rRNA from 1 species
CCUACGGGGGGCUGCAGUGGGGAAUAUUGGGCAAUGGGGGCAACCCUGAUCCAGCCAUGCCGCGUGUGUGAAGAAGGCCCUCGGGUUGUAAAGCACUUUCAGUGAGGAAGAACGCCUGGUGGUUAAUACCCAUCAGGAAAGACAUCACUCACAGAAGAAGCACCGGCUAACUCCGUGCCAGCAGCCGCGGUAAUACGGAGGGUGCGAGCGUUAAUCGGAAUUACUGGGCGUAAAGCGCGCGUAGGUGGCUUGAUAAGCCGGUUGUGAAAGCCCCGGGCUCAACCUGGGAACGGCAUCCGGAACUGUCAAGCUAGAGUGCAGGAGAGGAAGGUAGAAUUCCCGGUGUAGCGGUGAAAUGCGUAGAGAUCGGGAGGAAUACCAGUGGCGAAGGCGGCCUUCUGGACUGACACUGACACUGAGGUGCGAAAGCGUGGGUAGCAAACAGGAUUAGAUACCCUGGUAGUC